CCUACGGGUGGCAGCAGUGAGGAAUAUUGGUCAAUGGACGAGAGUCUGAACCAGCCAAGUAGCGUGAAGGAUGACUGCCCUAUGGGUUGUAAACUUCUUUUAUAUGGGACUAAAAUGUUCCACGUGUGGGCUUUUGUAUGUACCAUAUGAAUAAGGAUCGGCUAACUCCGUGCCAGCAGCCGCGGUAAUACGGAGGAUCCGAGCGUUAUCCGGAUUUCGUGGGUUUAAAGGGAGCGUAGGUGGAUUGUUAAGUCAGUUGUGAAAGUUUGCGGCUCAACCGUAAAAUUGCAGUUGAAACUGGCAGUCUUGAGUACAGUAGAGGUGGGCGGAAGUCGUGGUGUAGCGGUGAAAUGCGUAGAUAUCACGAAGAACUCCGAGUGCGAAGGCAGCUCACUGGACUGCAACUGACACUGAGGCUCGAAAGUGUGGGUAUCAAACAGGAUUAGAUACCCGAGUAGUC
rnacentral:rRNA from 1 species